rnacentral:rRNA from 1 species
UGGGGAAUUUUGGACAAUGGGCGAAAGCCUGAUCCAGCAAUGCCGCGUGUGUGAAGAAGGCCUUCGGGUUGUAAAGCACUUUUGUCCGGAAAGAAAUCCUUGGCUCUAAUACAGUCGGGGGAUGACGGUACCGGAAGAAUAAGCACCGGCUAACUACGUGCCAGCAGCCGCGGUAAUACGUAGGGUGCAAGCGUUAAUCGGAAUUACUGGGCGUAAAGCGUGCGCAGGCGGUUUGCUAAGACCGAUGUGAAAUCCCCGGGCUCAACCUGGGAACUGCAUUGGUGACUGGCAGGCUAGAGUAUGGCAGAGGGGGGUUAGAAUUCCACGUGUAGCAGUGAAAUGCGUAGAGAUGUGGAGGAAUACCGAUGGCGAAGGCAGCCCCCUGGGCCAAUACUGACGCUCAUGCACGAAAGCGUGGGGAGCAAACAGGAUUAGAUACCCUGGUAGUCCACGCCCUAAACGAUGUCAACUAGUUGUUGGGGAUUCAUUUCCUUAGUAACGUAGCUAACGCGUGAAGUUGACCGCCUGGGAGUACGGUCGCAAGAUUAAACUCAAAUGAAUUGACGGGGUCAUAGCUGUUUCCU